CGCGCGGUGGCGCACUGGCUAACGCUCUUGCCUUUGGAUCCAGGGGUCCCGGGUUCGAUCCCCCCGGUGG